GUGUUCGUUAGAUGGAGAGAUGGUUGGCAUCUCCUCUCACGGGAACAAGAAUAGCCUUAAAGCUUACGUGUUACAUGUAACGUUCCAAAAAUUUAAAGUAAAUUUUUU